rnacentral:lncRNA from 1 species
GACAGAAGCUUGUUUCUGAUCAUAAGAUAUUAUUCAGAAGUAAAUUUUGUAAAAAAAAAAUUCACUUUUUCCGUAUUUUACUUAUCAAUGGACUUAGUUUUUCUUCCAGUUAACAUUACAUACAGUCUGCAGUUAAAGUUUAUACAACAUUUAUUAGAUUCAUAAACUAUCCUGGAUUUUUUACCAAACUUGGAAGCUUCUUUCAAUCAAAAGACAGUAUCGAGAGGGAAAUUUUUAUUGAUGUUUUUCCUCAUUUUGUUGAGUCUGCGAUUAACAGCAAAAGUAGGCGAGACACUGGGUUCCGCGGAACCCUUACAAAUUUUUUACCAUCUUGUCUUCAUAAUUUAAAAAAAGAUACAUGUAAUUAUCACAAUUCUGGGGUUUUACACAUUUUUUCAAUAUAUGUUGUAAACAAACAAUAGUUAAAUGGUUUUUACAAUUGGUAAAUCAUAUAAAUAUUUUUGUAUUACAUGUAUAAAGACUAAAUUGCUUGUUAGUUGUUUUAAGGGCAUACGAUACAGCUACAGGGGAGAUAAUGACGUUGCUAACGUAAAUUGAUAUUUUUUCAACAUCAAACAGUGACUUAUCAGGAAAAGAUGCAGUUCUCAACUGAUUUUUAUCAUUCAAACCGGUUUUACUUGAAAAACAAGUUCACGGACCCCUCUUUUUUAAAAUGACAUUUGGCUUGAUUACAUAAAAAGAUUAUGUUGUACCAAUUUUCAUGAAAACAUAAAUAGUGCAAUUUUUUUUAAUUUGAAAAAUAAACUGAAAAAAAAUGAUGUUUUUU